ACGCACGCUGGCGGCAGGCCUAACCCAUGCAAGUCGCGCGGACCCUUCGGGGUUAGCGGCGGACGGGUGGGUAACGCGUGGGAACGUGCCCUUUGCUUCGGAAUAGCCCUGGGAAACUGGGAGUAAUACCGGAUACGCCCUUUUGGGGAAAGAUUUAUCGGCGAAGGAUCGGCCCGCGUUGGAUUAGGUAGUUGGUGGGGUAAUGGCCUACCAAGCCGACGAUCCAUAGCUGGUUUGAGAGGAUGAUCAGCCACACUGGGACUGAGACACGGCCCAGACUCCUACGGGAGGCAGCAGUGGGGAAUCUUAGACAAUGGGGGAAACCCUGAUCUAGCCAUGCCGCGUGAGCGAUGAAGGCCUUAGGGUUGUAAAGCUCUUUCACCGGGGAAGAUAAUGACGGUACCCGGAGAAGAAGCCCCGGCUAACUCCGUG
rnacentral:rRNA from 1 species